UGUACAUCAGGUGUAAUUUUACCCUGAAAUGAGUAAGGCCAAUCAUCAAGCAUCGGCUUGGAAUGAACUUAGACAAACAUGAAAGGUAUGAAUUCAAAUUGAUCGUUUCGGCUACGAAAUGUCAAAUCGUACAGCAAAAUCGAAGCAGAUGUUGAAAGACAUAAUACUUGAAACCAGUGUUAUUUUUUUUCUCGACUACAAUACGUGGGGAAAAGCGGUCAGAAGCAGCAACAAUACUCUAAUACGCUAUUUCACGUACUAUGAAAGUUACGUCAUUACAGCAGUAUUGGAGGAAACAAUACCAUGUGAAAUUCUUGAAUAUUUGUUGAGUAUACAGUGCAUGAGAUAUAUGCGGUUUCCAAGGCAACCUGUCAUUAUCAGCGGCAGCACAUGUUUGUGCAUUGUGGCAAAUCACCGUGUUUGUUUCUAAAUUAGUAAAUAAUGGAAAACAUGGGUAGGUUACUUUCCAUUGGGUCAUGACCAGGUUACAGGUAGGCUUAGACAUAAUUAUGGGAUGCAUUUGGAAUGUUUCACUUCAAUAACAAGUGGGCUAGGCCCAGUGCUUUCGUACCCCUGCUCACUUAGGAAAGAGUUGCAGCUUUCAUCAAAGAAACUGAUGAUCUAAAAGUUGAGACGGACUGGAGGAGCUAGGCCGCUUUGUCAGGACGAAAAUGAACCCUCCAAGGCUCCAACAGCGUCACCAUACACAAGCUCGAGGAACCGGAAGCAGGGAGGAGGACCAACAGAUGAACGGGUGACCUGCUUGCUGGGCUUCCCAUUACGGAUUAUCAGAGAAGUGAGGACUACUGACUGAUGAGGAUGCCCUACCGUGAUGGAUGAGCUUCUUGGGAGGACUGACAGAUGACUUGCCCUGCUUGCUGAGCAUGCCAUUACCGAUUCUUGAGAAGACGAGGACCACCAAGCUUGGAUAAGACUGGACAAAGACGAAGAUGCUGUAUCUGGACAAUCAUCGGAAACUUGCAAAAUUAACUUGUAGAAUAUCGAAUUAGAAAUCAGGCUGCAUAUUUUGCAUAUUUUUCAUUAGUACAUGUA